rnacentral:rRNA from 1 species
UAUCUCUGUAGAGUCUGCAUAUCAAUAAGCGGAGGAAAAGAAACUAACUAGGAUUCCCUCAGUAACGGCGAGUGAAGCGGGAAGAGCUCAAAUUUGAAAUCUUCAAGGUUCUACCUUGACGAAUUGUAGUUUAAAGAAGUGUUUUCUGUUGGAGUUUUGGUAAAAGUUCUUUGGAAUAGGACAUCAUAGAGGGUGAGAAUCCCGUAUUUGACCAUUAUUUCCAGCUUUGUGAUACACUUUCAAAGAGUCGGAUUGUUUGGGAAUGCAGUCCAAAAUGGGUGGUAAAUUUCAUCUAAAGCUAAAUACUGGCGAGAGACCGAUAGCGAACAAGUACCGUGAGGGAAAGAUGAAAAGAACUUUGAAAAGAGAGUUAAACAGUACGUGAAAUUGUCAAAAGGGAAGCGUUUGACACCAGUGUUGUUUUCUCGAAAAUCAAUUAAAAAAGGCAGGAUUUUGUGUUGUAUUGACUUUAUCAGCUUUCUGCACUCUUUUCUUGUCUUUUUUAAUGCACUUUUCGUUUAACAAGUCAACAUCAAUUUCUUUUGUUGUAAAAGGGUCAUUGGAAGGUGGCUUUCUUUUCGGAGAAAGUGUUUAUAGCCUUUGGCCUCUGCAAUCGGAGAGAUUGAGGUCUGCAGCGUAGAUCCUUCGGGGUUAGAUACAUUUGCUGCUAAGUUAUAGCCUUUCAUAGACAACUUGUUGACUACGAUCAGUCAUGUAGCUUACUCGCUUAUGCUAUUUUACCUACGCUUAGGAUGUUGACGAUCAGCUGAGCGCG